UAAGUAAUACAAAGCAUAUCAUAGGAAAACUACUGAAAAGCAAAGAAAAUAAGAACAUCUUAAAAAUAGCCAGAGAUGAGAGAUUCAUUUGCUAGAGAGGAGCAAUAAUUAGACUAAUAUCUGACUUCUCAAUAAAACACAAAGGGAGCCAGAAAUUAAUGUAAUAUUAUUUUCAGCAUGCUAAGAUAAUGAAAGUGAGGACCUAGACUUCUAUACUCAAUGAAAAUACCCAUCACAAUGGAAGGCAAAUGCUUUUUUUUAGACAGGGAAUAACUGGAAUAAUUUGUCACCAUACAAGAAAAUGAAUAAGGGUAUUUUUUAGGGAGAAGAUAAACUAUUACAAAGUGAUAGAAACACUAAUUAUGAUGUUGGAAGUCAGGAUAGAGGUUGUGUUUAGGGAUGAGAGAUGGAGUAAUUUUGGGAGUGGCCUAAGGAGUCUUCUGAGGUGCUGGUGAUAUGCUACUUAUUGACAUGGAUUUUAUAACACAGGAACAAGAAGGUCUCCAGGAAGAAGGAACAACUGUAUGAUAUUCAUCAUCAAGUAUGGAAGAAAAGAAGAAUGAAGGGCCCUGGAGUCUAUCAUGCCUGAAGGCCAACAUUUCUAAACCCCUUCCUUAUUGUCCAUUUUUCCUAUAUCUGCCUCAAGAUUCUGUAAUUCUUUAAGAUCGUUUUUUGAGACAAUAGUUUGCCAUCUUCUGUUUAUUCUGUCUAAUCAAAUAAAUACUUCCUUUCUCAA
rnacentral:lncRNA from 1 species